rnacentral:rRNA from 1 species
AACGCUAGCUACAGGCUUAACACAUGCAAGUCGAGGGGUAGCACGGAGGAAGCUUGCUUCCUUGGGUGACGACCGGCGCACGGGUGAGUAACGCGUAUCCGACCUACCCAUUACUCGGGCACAGCCGCUCGAAAGAGUGAUUGAUUCCCGAUAUGUCCUUGGAGUAGAUUCAAUGAUGAAAGAUUUAUCGGUAAUGGAUGGGGAUGCGUAAGAUUAGGUAGUAGGCGGGGUAACGGCCCACCUAGCCGACGAUCUUUAGGGGUUCUGAGAGGAAGGUCCCCCACACUGGUACUGAGACACGGACCAGACUCCUACGGGAGGCAGCAGUGAGGAAUAUUGGUCAAUGGGCGGAAGCCUGAACCAGCCAAGUAGCGUGAAGGAUUACAGCCCUACGGGUUUUAAACUUCUUUUAUAUAAGAGUAAUGUGCACUACGUGUAGUGUAUUGCAAGUAUUAUAUGAAUAAGCAUCGGCUAACUCCGUGCCAGCAGCCGCGGUAAUACGGAGGAUGCGAGCGUUAUCCGGAUUUAUUGGGUUUAAAGGGAGCGUAGGCGGGAUAUUAAGUCAGUCGUCAAAGCCUGUGGCUCAACCACAGCCCGCGAUUGAUACUGGUAACCUUGAGUGCGGAUGAGGUGGAUGGAAUUCGUGGUGUAGCGGUGAAAUGCUUAGAUAUCACGAAGAACUCCGAUUG